ACUACUACUAGCCCACUAAUCCCUCAACUUCAAAAACCACAUACUACAAAGUAAAACAUUUAUCCAAAACUAAAAGUAUAGGAGAUAGAAAUUUAACACUGGAGCUAUAGAGAUAGUACCGUAAGGGAAAGAUGAAAGAAACAAUUAAAGUAUAAAAAAGCAAAGACUAAAACUUAUACCUUUUGCAUAAUGAUUUAACCAGAAACUAUUUGACAAAAAGAAUUUUAGCCAAACCCCCCGAAACCAGACGAGCUACUUAUGAGCAGCCAACUAGGGCCUAUCCGUCUAUGUAGCAAAAUAGUGGAGAGACUUGUAAGUAGAGGUGAAAAACCUAACGAGCCUGGUGAUAGCUGGUUGUCUGGAUCAGAAUCUUAGUUCUACUUUAAACUUACCCAAAGCACAAAUCAAGCCCAAUGUAAGUUUAAAUGUUAGUCUAAAGAGGGACAGCUCUUUAGAAAUAGGAGACAACCUUAUUUAGAGAGUAAAAUAUCAAACCCCCAUAGUUGGCUUAAAAGCAGCCACCAAUUAAAAAAGCGUUAAAGCUUAACCCAAAGUAUCCCAACUCAAUCCCCUACCCUAAAUUAACCUCCUAAGACCAAACCAGACUAAUCUAUUUAUAUGAAUAGAAGCAACAAUGUUAAUAUAAGUAACAAGAACACUAUUUCUCCCCUGCAUAAACUUAUAUCAGACCGAAUAAAUCACUGAUAGUUAGUCAACAUCAUAACCCCAAACACAUUACAAAGAAGUUAUUAUCAACACUGUUAACCCAACACUGGUGUGCACAACCAAGGGAAAGAUUGAAAGAAGUAAAAGGAACUCGGCAAGCACUAACCCCGCCUGUUUACCAAAAACAUCACCUCUAGCAUUAAUAGUAUUAGAGGCAUUGCCUGCCCAGUGACACAUGUUCAACGGCCGCGGUAUCCUGACCGUGCAAAGGUAGCAUAAUCACUUGUUCCCUAAUUAGGGACUUGCAUGAACGGCCUGACGAGGGUUCAACUGUCUCUUACUUUCAAUCAGUGAAAUUGACCUUCCCGUGAAGAGGCGGGAAUAUUCUAAUAAGACGAGAAGACCCUAUGGAGCUUAAAUUUUAUAGUCUAGCACUCCUAAUCUACACCUACAGGAUCAAAACCUAUGCCCACAGACUAAAAAUUUUGGUUGGGGUGACCUCGGAGAACAAAACAACCUCCGAAUGAUUAUAAUCGAGACAAACCCGUCCAAAUUUAUAUUCAUUAAUUGACCCAAAACUUUUUUGAUCAACGGAACAAGUUACCCUAGGGAUAACAGCGCAAUCCUACUCAAGAGUCCAUAUCGACAGUUAGGGUUUACGACCUCGAUGUUGGAUCAGGACUUCCAAAUGGUGUAACCGCUAUUAAUGGUUCGUUUGUUCAACGAUUAAAGUCCUACGUGAUCUGAGUUCAGACCGGAGAAAUCCAGGUCGGUUUCUAUCUAUUACUAUAUUUCUCCCAGUACGAAAGGACAAGAGAAAUAGGGCCCAUCCCUCACCUAUGCCCUAGGUUAAUAGAUGAAAUAAUCUAAAUCUAGUAACCCAUUACUUACCCCGCCCUAGAAUAGGGCUU
rnacentral:rRNA from 1 species